GAAAGGUUCAAGGAGGGAAGACGUGAGAAUAGAGUGUAGACAGCUGUUGGUAUUACUUACAGUGGAGGAAUCAAAAUUGGGAGGUGACUGAAAGAUGAAAGAUGCAUUUGAGUUGCAUACACGAAAUGCUGGAGGUACUCAACAGGUCAGGCAGCAUCCAUGGAAAUGAACAACCAGUCGACGUCUUGGGCUGAGACCCUUCUUCAGGACUGGAGAAGAAGAGGGAAGGUGCCAGAAUGAAAAGAAAAUCAAAAUACUAACAACAGGAAUUCUGCAGAUGCUGGAAAUUCAAGCAACAUACAUCAAAGUUGCUGGUGAACGCA